CACUGAUAAAAUUGAAAAAUAUAAAUGAAUUGGAUUACUUUAUAAACUACAUCUUUAAAAAAUUUAAAGUAGGUGGGAAAGUGCCAAAACCAAAAACAUUUUGUAAACACUCCAAUCCAUUGCAGUAUAGGUAGUAUCGUUAAGAAACUAACUACAAAAGUAUAAAUCGUUGAAUAUUUAUCAACUGCAACAAAUACUAAUUAGUGGUUGACAGAGAUAUAUUUAAAGAUAACGGGUCUAAUGAUAUUAUAUACAAUAUAUACAUCAUAAUAUAUAGAUAUAAUUUAUAAAUGUUAAAUUAAUUUACAUAAUUAAGUUAAGUUGCAAUUACUGUUAAAGAUUUUCUUGCAAAGUAUUUAAAUUAGUUAAUUUAAAAAAACUUAUUUCAUUUAU